UUUUUUAAAAAAGAGAAAAGGAAAAUAGAUAAGGCGAGGGAAACGGAAGGCAAACGAAAAAGGCGAAAAGAGAAUGAAGAUCGGCGGCGGGGUAUUGUAUCGCGGUGGUGCACGCGGCAGCAACGUCGUGCCGCUGCUUCUCAGCCACCGCGGAGCUUCUACUCUUCGCGUCUCUGCUUCUUCUUCCAUUUCCGUUGCAGACCACGUCUCUUUCGUAAAAGACGUAGCCAAAACUCAGCCUCCUCAGCAUCUCUCACAACUCUUGACGAUUCUGCAAACCAGAGGUGAUUCUAUUAUCUCUCCCGGCGCCAGGCAAGGAUUGAUUCCCCUUGCUAUACCACUGUCGAAAAACAGCUCAGGUAGUGUGACGGCAUUGCUGCGGUGGCCAACGGCUCCAUCCGAAAUGGAAAUGCCAGUGGUGGAAGUCAGAAGUUAUGGAGUGUGGCUUUUAGCCAAGACUGUGGACCAAUUUAUUCAUAGAAUAUUGGUUGAAGAAGAUGUAAAGAACAGUCAAGAGAGAAAUGAAGAACUCUUUUAUGCUUCAGCUGAUGCUGGGGAGAAGCUUUAUAGAAAAGGCGAUUUUGCACAGUCUGGAAUUUCUAACCUAGAUGGCUAUCUUUUGAAAAAGGUUGGUAUCUUUCCAGAUAUCCUAGAGCGCAAGGUGAAACGACAUUUUGAGGAAGGGGAUAAUGUUUCAGCUUUGGUAACGGGGGAAUUUUAUACUAAGAAGGAACAUUUUCCAGGAUUUGCACGACCUUUUGUGUUCAAUGCUGAGGUUUUGUUGAGGGUUGGGCGUAAUACAGAAGCUAAAGAUGCUGCCAGGGGAGCUUUGAAAUCACCAUGGUGGACUCUGGGCUGCAAAUAUCAUGAUGUGGCUAAUAUAGCACAAUGGGACGAUGAGCAAAUUGAGUACAUUAAAGAGAAAGUGACUGAAGAGGGAAGGCAAGAAGAUCUUAAAAAGGGGAAGGCACCUGCACAGGUUGUACUAGAUGAAGCUGCUUUCUUGCUGGAUUUGGCUUCUAUAGACGGAAAUUGGGAUGACUAUUUGGACCGGAUUGGCAAGUGUUACGAGGAAGCAGGACUAUCUGAUGUCGCAAAAUUUAUUCUUUAUAGAGAUUAAUAUACUUGGCAGAUUUUCUUCCACCUGCAAGCUUCAGUGCCUUCCCGUUUCGGCAUUUUAUACAAUUUAUUCUACAGGUACGAUGGCCAAAGACUUAACAGAAGCACUGUCAUCCUGGCCUUGAAGUCUGUUCAAAACUAAUACCUUUUCCAGGGGCUGUAUAAAACCAGGAAUGCAGGUGGGACUGGAGCUUCUGUUACUUACUUUGCAAACCUUGGCUUUGUGAUUAUCUUCAGCCAACAUCCGAUCCAAUAGAGAAAGUCGAUUUUUCAUCUUCAUUGCUUUCUUUGGGAAAGUAGUUGAGUUUGUAAUUGCAUGGCAUUGGGCAGCUACAGCGUUGUCAAAGAGGGAGGCAUCCUUUGGUGCAGCCAAUGCUGAGUUUGUAAUUGCAUGGCAUUGGGCGGCUACAGCGUUGUCAAAGAGGGAGGCAUCCUUUGGUGCAGCCAAUGCCUUCAACUGCUUCCCAAGGUUAAGGAUGGUCUCUUGACACUCUGCCAACUUUUCUGAAGCAGCUGUUAUCUCCCAGUCCUGUAGGAUUGGUAAACAACCCUCAAACUCAAUACAGG